UACGUAGGGUGCGAGCGUUGUCCGGAAUUAUUGGGCGUAAAGGGCUCGUAGGCGGUUUGUCGCGUCGGGAGUGAAAACACCGGGCUUAACUCGGUGCUUGCUUUCGAUACGGGCAGACUUGAGGCAUGCAGGGGAGAACGGAAUUCCUGGUGUAGCGGUGAAAUGCGCAGAUAUCAGGAGGAACACCGGUGGCGAAGGCGGUUCUCUGGGCAUGUUCUGACGCUGAGGAGCGAAAGCGUGGGGAGCGAACAGG
rnacentral:rRNA from 1 species